rnacentral:rRNA from 1 species
AGAGUUUGAUCCUGGCUCAGAACGAACGCUGGCAGCGUGGAUUAGGCAUGCAAGUCGAACGAGAUCCUGUUUGUUCAAUUCUUCGGAAGAGAUAUUUCAGGUGAGAGUGGCGGAAGGGUGAGUAACGCGUGGACAACCUACCUUAAAGUUGGGGAUAACGUCUGGAAACGGACGCUAAUACCGAAUGUGGUACCUGGUCGCAUGACUGGGUUACUAAAGAUGGGGACCCUUCGGGGCCUGUCGCUUAAAGAGGGGUCCGCGUACGAUUAGCUUGUUGGUGAGGUAACGGCCCACCAAGGCGAUGAUCGUUAGCUGGUCUGAGAGGAUGAUCAGCCACACUGGGACUGAGACACUGCCCAGACUCCUACGGGAGGCUGCAGUCGAGAAUCAUUCGCAAUGCGCGAAAGCGUGACGAUGCGACGCUGCGUGGAGGAUGACGGCCUUAGGGUUGUAAACUCCUGUCAUAAGGGAAAAGACAUCUCUCAAUUAAUACUUGAGAGACUCGAUGGUACCUUAAGAGGAAGCCACGGCUAACUCUGUGCCAGCAGCCGCGGUAAUACAGAGGUGGCGAGCGUUGUUCGGAUUUACUGGGCGUAAAGCGUGCGUAGGUGGUCUGGUUAGUCGGAUGUGAAAUCCCGGGGCUCAACCCCGGAACUGCAUCCGAAACUGCCAGACUAGAGUCCAGGAGGGGAGAGCGGAAUUCAGAGUGUAGCGGUGAAAUGCGUUGAUAUUCUGAAGAACACCGGCGGCGAAGGCGGCUCUCUGGAAUGGAACUGACACUGAGGCACGAAAGCGUGGGUAGCAAACAGGAUUAGAUACCCUGGUAGUCCACGCCGUAAACGUUGCACACUUGGUGUGGGAGGUAUUGACCCCUCCCGUGCCGUAGCUAACGCGUUAAGUGUGCCGCCUGGGGAGUACGGUCACAAGAUUAAAACUCAAAGAAAUUGACGGGGGCCCGCACAAGCGGAGGAGCAUGUGGCUUAAUUCGAUGCAACGCGAAGAACCUUACCAGGGCUUGACAUGGGAACCCUUCGGGGGUGGUAACGAAAGUUACCUUUAUCAUCACAGGUGCUGCAUGGCUGUCGUCAGUUCGUGCCGUGAGGUGUUUGGUUAAGUCCAGCAACGAACGCAACCCUUGUGUCUAGUUGCCACCCAAGUUUACUUGGAGCACUCUAGACAGACUGCCCGUACAAGCGGGAGGAAGGUGGGGAUGACGUCAAGUCAGUAUGGCCCUUACGCCCUGGGCUGCACACGUGCUACAAUGGUCGGUACAGAAGGACGCAAUAUCGCGAGAUGGAGCAAAUCCUCAAAGCCGGCCCCAGUUCGGAUUGGAGUCUGAAACUCGACUCCAUGAAGUUGGAUUCGCUAGUAAUGCCGUAUCAUCUACGACGGCGUGAAUACGUUCCCGGGCCUUGUACACACCGCCCGUCACAUCAUGAAAGCCGUCUGCACCCGAAGUCGCUGAGCUAACCCGCAAGGGAGGCAGGUGCCGAAGGUGUGGGUGGUGAUUGGGAUGAAGUCGUAACAAGGUA